UACGUAGGGGGCAAGCGUUGUCCGGAUUUAUUGGGCGUAAAGAGCGUGUAGGCGGCCAGAUAGGUCGGUUGUGAAAACUGGAGGCUUAACCUCCAGACGUCGACCGAAACCCUCUGGCUAGAGUCCGGAAGAGGAGAGUGGAAUUCCUGGUGUAGCGGUGAAAUGCGCAGAUAUCAGGAAGAACACCCGUGGCGAAAGCGGCUCUCUGGGACGGUACUGACGCUGAGACGCGAAAGCGUGGGGAGCGAACAGG
rnacentral:rRNA from 2 species